GAUAGAACGCUAGCUACAGGCUUAACACAUGCAAGUCGAGGGGAAACGAUAGAGAAAGCUUGCUUUUUCUAGGCGUCGACCGGCGCACGGGUGAGUAACGCGUAUCCAACCUGCCCACCACUUGGGAUAACCUUGCGAAAGUAAGACUAAUACCCAAUGACGUCUCUAGAAGACAUCUGAAAGGGAUUAAAGAUUUAUCGGUGAUGGAUGGGGAUGCGUCUGAUUAGCUUGUUGGCGGGGUAACGGCCCACCAAGGCUACGAUCAGUAGGGGUUCUGAGAGGAAGGUCCCCCACAUUGGAACUGAGACACGGUCCAAACUCCUACGGGAGGCAGCAGUGAGGAAUAUUGGUCAAUGGGCGAGAGCCUGAACCAGCCAAGUAGCGUGCAGGAUGACGGCCCUAUGGGUUGUAAACUGCUUUUAUAAGGGAAUAAAGUGAGCCUCGUGAGGCUUUUUGCAUGUACCUUAUGAAUAAGGACCGGCUAAUUCCGUG
rnacentral:rRNA from 1 species